rnacentral:rRNA from 1 species
CCUAACACAUGCAAGUCGAACGGUAACAGGAAACAGCUUGCUGUUUCGCUGACGAGUGGCGGACGGGUGAGUAAUGUCUGGGAAACUGCCUGAUGGAGGGGGAUAACUACUGGAAACGGUAGCUAAUACCGCAUAACGUCGCAAGACCAAAGAGGGGGACCUUCGGGCCUCUUGCCAUCAGAUGUGCCCAGAUGGGAUUAGCUAGUAGGUGGGGUAACGGCUCACCUAGGCGACGAUCCCUAGCUGGUCUGAGAGGAUGACCAGCCACACUGGAACUGAGACACGGUCCAGACUCCUACGGGAGGCAGCAGUGGGGAAUAUUGCACAAUGGGCGCAAGCCUGAUGCAGCCAUGCCGCGUGUAUGAAGAAGGCCUUCGGGUUGUAAU